rnacentral:rRNA from 1 species
GAUGAACGCUAGCGAUAGGCUUAACACAUGCAAGUCGAGGGGCAGCACGAGGUAGCUUGCUAUCUGGGUGGCGACCGGCGCACGGGUGCGUAACGCGUAUGCAACUUGCCCUAUACAGGAGGAUAACCCGUCGAAAGACGGACUAAUACUGCGUAUGCUCACAGCUUGGCAUCAAGAAGUGAGGAAAGAAAUUCGGUAUAGGAUAGGCAUGCGUCCCAUUAGCUUGUUGGUGAGGUAACGGCUCACCAAGGCAACGAUGGGUAGGGGAACUGAGAGGUUUAUCCCCCACACUGGUACUGAGACACGGACCAGACUCCUACGGGAGGCAGCAGUGAGGAAUAUUGGUCAAUGGGCGCGAGCCUGAACCAGCCAAGUCGCGUGAAGGAUGACUGUCUUAUGGAUUGUAAACUUCUUUUAUACGGGAAUAACAAGAGUCACGUGUGACUCCCUGCAUGUACCGUAUGAAUAAGCAUCGGCUAACUCCGUGCCAGCAGCCGCGGUAAUACGGAGGAUGCGAGCGUUAUCCGGAUUUAUUGGGUUUAAAGGGUGCGUAGGCGGUUUGUUAAGUCAGCGGUGAAAUCUAGAGGCUCAACCUCGAAACUGCCGUUGAAACUGGCGAACUUGAGUGUAGAUGAGGUAGGCGGAAUUCGUGGUGUAGCGGUGAAAUGCAUAGAUAUCACGAGGAACUCCGAUUGCGAAGGCAGCUUACUAAGGUACAACUGACGCUGAAGCACGAAAGCGUGGGUAUCAAACAGG